GGUUCCAUAGUGUAAUGGUUAGCACCUAGGCCUUAUAAUCCUGUAUUCCGGGUUCGAACCCCGGUGGAACCU
rfam:Aphanomyces astaci strain APO3 cont1.1229, whole genome shotgun sequence.